rnacentral:rRNA from 1 species
UGAGGAAUAUUGGUCAAUGGGCGAGAGCCUGAACCAGCCAAGUAGCGUGCAGGAUGACGGCCCUAUGGGUUGUAAACUGCUUUUAUAUGGGAAUAAAGUGAGGGACGUGUCCCUUAUUGCAUGUACCAUACGAAUAAGGACCGGCUAAUUCCGUGCCAGCAGCCGCGGUAAUACGGAAGGUCCAGGCGUUAUCCGGAUUUAUUGGGUUUAAAGGGAGCGUAGGCUGUUUGUUAAGCGUGUUGUGAAAUGUAAGAGCACAACUUUUCGAUUGCAGCGCGAACUGGCAGACUUGAGUGCGCACAACGUAGGCGGAAUUCAUGGUGUAGCGAUGAAAUGCUUAGAUAUCAUGACGAACUCCGAUGGCGAAGGCAGCUUACGGGAGCGCAACUGACGCUAAAGCUCGAAGGUGCGGGUAUCGAACAGG